CCUGGUUGAUCCUGCCAGUGGUCAUAUGCUUGUCUCAAAGAUUAAGCCAUGCAUGUCUAAGCACAGCUGGUAACAGUGAAGCCGCGAAUAGCUCAUUACAACAGCCGUUGUUUCUUGGAUCUACUCUCUACUUGGAUAACUGUGGUAAUUCUAGAGCUAAUACAUGCAUCCAGACCCGACGCAAGGACGGUCGCAUUUAUUAGAACAAAACCAUCCGGUCUUCGGACCGUACUUUGGUGACUCUGAAUAACUGAGCAAAUCACACGGUCUCGCACCGGUGAUGUAUCUUUCAAGUGUCUGCCUUAUCAACUUUCGAUGGUAGUUUAUGUGCCUACCAUGGUUGUAACGGGUAACGGAGAAUCAGGGUUUGACUCCGGAGAGGGAGCCUGAGAAACGGCUACCACUUCUAAGGAAGGCAGCAGGCGCGCAAAUUACCCAUUCUCGGUACGAGGAGGUAGUGACGAAAAAUACCAAGCCGAGGCCCUUUGGGUUUCGGCAUUGGAAUGAGAACAAUCCAAAUCUUUUAACGAGGAUCUAGUGGAGGGCAAGUCUGGUGCCAGCAGCCGCGGUAAUUCCAGCUCCGCAAGUGUAUAUCUAUUUUGCUGAGUUUAAAAAGCUCGUAGUUGGAUCUGCGUGUUCAGCAUCUGGUGCGGUCUCUGGCCGCUACUGGAAUGCGACACAUCGAAUGUCGGUGUGCCGUUGAUGCUCUUUACCGGGUGUCAGCGGUGACUGAUGAGUUUACUUUGAACAAAUUAGAGUGCUCAACGCAGGCGUUUCGCUUGUAUAUUUCUGCAUGGAAUAAUAGAAUAGGACCUCGGUUCUAUUUUGUUGGUUUUCGGAAGUGAGGUAAUGAUUAGGAGGGACUGACGGGGGCAUUCGUACUGCGACGUGAGAGGUGAAAUUCUUGGAUCGUCGCAAGACGCACUACUGCGAAGGCAUUUGCCAAGAAUGUUUUCAUUAAUCAAGAACGAAAGUAACGGGUUCGAAGGCGAUCAGAUACCGCCCUAGUCGUUACCGUAAACAAUAUUGACUGGGAGCAUGUCGGCGUUUCCAAGAACCCGAUAUGAACCCGCAGGGAAACCACAAGUCGAUUACUGGGGGAGUACGAUUGCAAAUUCGAAACUUAAAGGAAUUGACGGAAGGGCACCACCAGGGGUGGAGCCUGCGGCUUAGUUUGACCCAACACGGGGAAACUCACCCGGCCCGGACACCGGAAGGAUUGACAGAUUGAGAGCUCUUUCUUGAUUCGGUGGGUGGUGGUGCAUGGCCGUUCUUAGUUGGUGGAGUGAUUUGUCUGGUUAAUUCCGAUAACGAACGAGACUCUGGCCUACUAAAUAGUCGUCGGAUCGC
rnacentral:rRNA from 1 species